UACGAAGGGGGCUAGCGUUGUUCGGAAUUACUGGGCGUAAAGCGUACGUAGGCGGAUUGUUAAGUGAGGGGUGAAAUCCCGAGGCUCAACCUCGGAACUGCCUUUCAUACUGGCAAUCUUGAGUCCGGGAGAGGUGAGUGGAACUCCUAGUGUAGAGGUGAAAUUCGUAGAUAUUAGGAAGAACACCAGUGGCGAAGGCGGCUCACUGGCCCGGAACUGACGCUGAGGUACGAAAGCGUGGGGAGCAAAC
rnacentral:rRNA from 1 species